UCAUCAGCAGGCCGCUCCCAAGCAGGUAGAAGUCAUCCAGAGACAUCAGGAAGCCUGGAGACGGAGGAGGAGGAGCAGGAGGAGGAGCAGGAAGCGGUGGCCAUAUAGGAUCGGGGCAGAGGAAGUGAGAGGAGAAAGGGUAGCUGCUAAACGACAUCUUUCCAGUGGCGGUGUGUGUGUCAAACACUCUGAAGUCCCAGUGUUUAUAGAUGCGCAUGGUGGCUGCAUAAGUGUACCAGCUGGAGUGGCCAAACAGCAGGUUCUCAAAGCCUGGCAGCACCUGAGACACAGGGCAGAGGGAGAGAGGCAUCGGGGUAUGUAUGGUUUUGUUUUUGUUAGGAAGAAGAAUUACCCAGGAAUUAUCAUAAUAAUGGUCAUCUAUGUAAUAACUUUGCUGUUCUCUAAACUUUUCAUCUAGCGCCAUCGUGAGGUUAAACUUGCCCUAGCUAGUCGGUUGAUCCGAACCAGGAUUUGAACCAAGAUCGUUCUUGCUGUGAGGGAAGUAGAGCAAGUAUGCAUGUUUACAGAGGGUUUUUUUCAUUAUUAAGUACAAAGACUUGAUUGAUUUGAAUUAGGUUUCCAUGUUUCCAAGAAAUACAUUCCAUAAAACCCCA